AGUAUCCUAGUUAUAGCUUACUGGACUUUUGGCGCAGCCCUUAUAUAUCUAUUGUUCCUACUUUGUCUUAUGUUUUAAAGAAAACUAGCGCAGACAAAAGAAAUGGAGAACAGAUCCUGAGAGAGGAAGUGAAGAGGAAGCGAUUGGGGAAAGGUAAGUUCGGCAUGAAAGUGCCACUUUAAUUGAAGUACUUCUUUUUCAGCAGACAGUCUGU